rnacentral:lncRNA from 1 species
AAACACACACGAACAUAAUGCCAAAAUCCCUAAUCUACACGCGAUUGUUCUUCUUCUUCUCCCAAAAAUACCCGAAUCUCUUCCCAUUUCAGACCAAAUCCAAGCGAGUGAGCACCAAAUCCCUCACCCCACAUGUUCCCCUUUCUCUCCUCUUGCCACAGAUAACCGUUUCUCACCAGAGAUUCCCUCUCAUCUCAUUCGCUCGAUUUUGGGAUUAAAGCACGCGAUUGGAGGUCCGAGAUACGAUUCGUUGGAUGAAUGUAAGGCAUUGGAUUGAUUUCUUUCAAUCCGAGCCCCACAUUUAUCAGGGGCUCGUUUCAUAAAAGGACUGAAUCUUAUUCUCGAUGGCGGAGGAGGUUGAAAAAGAAUUCUGAGAGAAAUUUUGGAUAAAAACGUUAGAUCUCUUCCUAUUCUUCCAUUUUCUACAUACUGUUUUUAUCCAGAAAAUAAAAGCAAAAAAAUGAUUCUGUUUUAAAUUUUCACUUGCAGUGUGAGAUUUUAGUGGAUUAAUUGAUGAUGUGGGAUUUUAGGUUGGUUUGAGUGUCAGAACAAAAUUUUUCUGUUUCUUCAUUUCAAUUUUCGAUUCUGGUUUCCAAGGAUAUAAAAAUUGAAGUUCGAGCUUGGUUCUCUACUAUCGUCUUACUUAUUUGCCGCUGAGCCUCGCUAGGAUUUGGAGUCAAGAGGUGUAUUGUGGAGUCUAUAACUAUUAGCAGGAGUUUGUAACUUCAGGUUUGAAUUUCUUUUCCAUCAUGUAACGCUGCUUUUGUUUUUGAAGAAAUGUUCUUGAGAUGUGCAUUCUGUCUCGAAUGAUUCUAUGAUCAAAUUUCCUAUCGAAUGAACCUAUGCUCGGUGCUAUGAUGUAUUUAAGUAUGUCUAGUUAGUAGAAGUUGAUUUUGAGUGGUCAUUUUUCUACGCUUAUAUGGUUUACCUGUUAUCGUAAUGUCGAGUUUUCCUUUGGGUCCAGAUUUCGUCGAUUUCAAAUUGUUGUUAUAGUUCAGUCAGUUUGUCAGUGUGAAAUUGCUUGCCUGUUAGAAUUUGGAAGAUGAAUCAUAGGUUUUCUUGGUUUUGAACAUGACAGUGUGAAUACAAGACGUUGCAUUUGAGCUGGUAAUGUUUCUGUCGAAAUAGGUUCUCACGAGAAGAAUGCUAGGUGGAAAUCUGGAACGCUUUAAAUUCAUCUACUCCUAAUUUAAGCCUAGAUCCUUGUGAAUUCUGUUAUCGUUGUUCUAAUGUUCGAGAGUUUUCCGAUUGAGUCUGAACGACUGUUUCUGUUGAUUCUUUGUCGAAGCCCGUUCGAGGUUGUCACGUCGAGUUUUCUGCUCCAAAACUUUUUCAGAUUCAAGAGCUGUUGCUCUCAAGGUGCACAUCACAAAUCUGCACUUUUCUUUGAUUUGCAAGAAACGUUGGUUAUUUUGUCUAAAUUCAUUUAGCGGAUUGGCUGAAUCUGCUUCCAUCUCGUUUUGAACAUAAGCAGAAUGUUUAGUUUGAUUUAGUCGAUUCCUAAAACAUGGCGUCUAUCUAAUUAGUAAUGACGAGUUUGAUAUGAAAAGGAUUCAGUGAUUGAAAUUGUGAUAGGUCUCAUGUAUUUAGCUUGAAUUCAUGCACGCAUCUUUCUUCAUUUAACACAUAUUGCUUGGCUUUGAUAUUUACCUAUGAAAUAUAAUUUUCUUCAUUUAACACACAUGAUUUACCAAGCUUCUUAUAUGUUUCUUCAAAUGUCACUAUUCUGCUAUACAUUAGUCUGUUUCAUCAGUAAAGCAGUAUUCAUGUAAAUGAGAUUUUGUCCGUCUCUUUCUUUUGGGUUAUGUAUUUGUGGGGCCCUCAAUAAAUGUUUAUAUGAAAAAUGCUUAAAUUCGGGAGGGCCGUUUAGAGAAUUUCGCUGUCUUCCCCAAACUUAUAUUGUGAUAGAAUCUUUAGACGCGUUUUAAUUAAAGUACCUUCUUAAACUCGGGUGUGCAUUGAUGCAACCCAAAUCCAAAUCUCGACGAAGUCGAAAUAUGUUGACGACCACGGGUCUCUUGAUGGUGACGUGGUCAGAGACGUGUUUUCACGACGUCGCAAGUCUUUAUUAAAUAAAUAAUGAUAAAAGCGGUAUAUAAAUAAAAGGCACAUAAGCUAGCAUGUAUUAGAAUCAGAUAAAAUCAAAUACAACAGUUAAGCGACUGUGAAAUAUGUUGACGACCACGGGUGCCUUGAUAGCGACGAGGUUCGAAACAUGUUUUCACGAUGUCGUAAUUCUUAUAAAAUAAAUAACGAUCGAAAAUGGUUCAAAAAUGGAGACGAGCCUCACCGAACAAAAUAAAUGUGGGGCCCUCAAUAAUUGAACAUGAAAAAUGAUUAGAAUUUGGAAGGGCCGUUUAGCGAAUUUCAACGGUCUUUCCCGAAACAAUAUUACGUUAGAACUUUUAAGCGCGAUUUAAUUAAAUUACUUUCUUAAACUCGGGCGCGCUUUGAUGCGACCCAAAUCCAAAUCUCGACGAAGUCUAAAUGUGUUGACGACCACGGGUGCCUUGAUGGCGACGUGGUCAGAGACGCGUAUUCACGACGUCGUAAUUCUUUUAAAAUAAAUAAUGAUAAAAGCGGUUUACGAAUAAAAAGCACAUAAGUUAGCAUGUAUUAAAAUCAGACAAAAUCAAAUACAACAGUUAAGCGACCGUGCUAGAACCACUGAACCCAAUAAUUCCUAAUACCUUCUCCUGGAUUAACAGAAUUCCUUACUCAGAUUUUUGGCUCGCAGACUAUAAGAGAGUCAUAUUUUUCCUUGGUUCGAGAUUCAACCGGUGAAUUGGGACACCAUAAAUCUCCCAAGUGCGACUCUGAACUUCAAUAAAUAAAUUUCGUUCCGAUUGUCCUUUAAUUGGAAAAACUCCUUUACGCUCCUUUGCGGGGGUGUAGAUGAAAAAGAAGGUGUGACAACCAGCUAGCAAAGGCAUAGUUAAAACAGGUACGAAAUUCGCACCAAGUAAAUGCUAUGGGGGGUGUCAACAUGCUAGUGAAUAAAGAAAGACAAAGAGGUCAGCAUAACCAAGAGAGUUCGGAUAAAUAUGACAAUGAUUGUGGUGGAUUCCAAGAUGAUGGUUAUGAUGGACUCAAUAAAGAAGUGCAAUACAUGAACAAUUAUCAAGGUUAAAGGGGCAAUUCUUCCAACCAACAACAAUGGAGACCCCAAGGCAAUAGGGGAAAUCAACAACAACAAGGGAAUAGUAAUUGGGGGAACAACAACCAAAAUUUCAAUUGGGGCAAUCAGAACAAUAAUCAGAACAAUCAGGGUAAUUGGAAUGGCAACAACAAUCAGGGUGGUUGGAAUAAUGAUGAUCAAGGAAAUCGAGGCAAGACUUUCAAAGGCCUCCAAUUUAUCAACAACUGAACAAUCCACCCCCGUUUCAAUCCCAAGGUCCUAGUUAUUCCAAAAUAAAAUUGAGAGAAUUGAAAUGAUGUUUGGACAGAUAAUGAAAAAGAACGCGGACUCUGAUGCUCAGUUGGCUUCCCACAACACUUCAAUCAGAAACUUGGAUGUUCAAUUAGGCCAAAUAUCACAAUCCUUGAAUACUCGCCCUAAGGAGACUCUACCAACUGAUACGGUAGUUAACCCGAAGGGUGGUAACAGUUAUGUUAUGGCAGUGACCACAAGGAGUGGACGAAGCGGGGAUGUGAAUGCCUCCAAACAAAAAGAAAUUUUGAGUGAUGAAGUUGAGUCUCAAGAAGUUGAGAUUCCUUUGGUGGUUGAAAAUAUGAUUGACGAGAACGUGAAUAAGGAAGUGAGGAUAGAUAUUGAAGAUUCCAAGGUGGAGAUUCAUAAUGAUGUGAACCCAUCUAGGGAACAAGUAAUAGACAUGCCAGAAAUGAUUAUGCCAAAAAGCCAAGGCUCCUUUACCAAGGCCACCUCGACCUACUCCUCAAAAGCUCGUGAAGCAGUAAAAUGAGAAUCAGUUCAAAACAUUUAUUAGCAUGAUGAAGAGCUUAUCCAUUAAUGUGCCUUUGGUGGAGGCUCUAGAGCAAAUAUCGGGUUAUGCUAAAUUCAUGAAGGACUUGGUGACAAAGAAAAGAUCCAUGGAUUGAAAAACUAUCAAGAUGACCCAUCAAGUUAGUGAAAUAGUGCACUCAAUGGCCCCGAAGCUAGAAGAUUUCGGUGUUUUCACCAUUCCUCGCACCAUUGGUAGUGCGGACUUUGAAAAAGCUAUAUGUAAUUUGGGGGCAAGUAUCAACUUGAUGCCCUACUUAGUUUUUAAGACUUUGGGUAUUGGGCAACCGAGGCCGACUUCCAUGAAAUUGCAAAUGGCGGAUAGAACUAUAAAAAGACCAUUGAGUAUGAUUGAUCUUGUUUUUGUCCGUGUGGACAAAUUUAUCUUGGCAGUUGAUUUUUUGAUCUUGGAUUGUGAGGUAGAUUAUGAGAUUCCAAUCAUAUUAGGAAGACCUUUCCUUGUUACUAGGAAGGCCUUAGUUGAUGUGGAAGCAUGGGAAUUCACCUUCCGGGUGGGUGAUGAGAAAAUGGUCUUUCAUAUCUGCAGUUCUGAAGUGUGCCCCCAUGUGGACCUUGUCACGGCAGUGAUAGUUGAUGUUACUAGAGGUUGUACUGUUGAAUCUUGAUGUGAAUGACGAUGAAGGACGAGUGAAGUGUGUGAAUGCUUUGCAUGGAAUGGGCUCUUACUCUUAUGAGCCUAGGAAACCCCCAUUGGAUCUUGAACAUAGGAAGACUCCACCAAAAAAACCUUCAAUCAAGGAACUUCCUGUAUUGAAGUUGAAGUCGUUGCCUCCACACCUCAAGUAUGUAUUCUUAGGCCCUAGUUCAACUUUACCAGUUAUUCUUUCUUUUUGUCUUGCUAACAUGUAGGUUGAUGCCACAUUGGUGGUGCUUCAAAAGUGGAAGAAGUCAAUUGGAUGGACCUUAGAUGAUAUUCCAGGGAUAAGCCCCGCCUUCUUUAUGCACAAGAUUAUUAUGAAAGAUGAUGCAAAGCCCUCCUUGGAACAUCAAAGGAGGUUGAAUGAGGUAAUGCACCGGGCUACAUUCUAGUGGUAUAUGAUGACCAUUUUCACCGAUAUUGUGGAAUAUGUUUUGUAGGUGUUCAUGGACGACUUUAGUGUGGUGGGUGACUCAUUUGCUGAACGUUUGAAAAAUCUUGAUAGAGUGUUGACCCGUUGUGAAGAAACCAAUCUUGUUCUUAAUUGGGAGAAAUGCCACUUCAUGGUUGAGGAGGGUAUAGUUAUUGGGCAUAAAUUUCAGAGCAAGGUAUAGAGGUGGACAAAGCAAAAAUUGAUAUAAGGCUCCCUCCCCUACCUCUGUCAAGGGAGUAAGGUUCUACCAGAGAUUUAUCAAAGAAUUUUUGAAGGUAGUGAAUCCCUUAUGCAAAGUUAUUGGAAAAAGAUUCCAAGGUCGUGUUCGAUAAGAGAUGUAUUCAAGCCUUUGAACUUCUCAAGCACAAGUUGACUACCACUCGUAUUAUUACCGUAGCCAAUUGGAGCUUGCCUUUUGAGAUUAUGUGUGAUGCCAGCGAUGUUGCAGUUGGGGAGGUUUUGGGUUAAAGAGUGAACAAAAUAUUGCAUCCGGUGUACUAUGCGAGCAAGACAAUGAAUGAUUUUCAAGUGAACUAUACGGGGACUUAGAAAGAGCUUUUGGCUAUGUGUUCGCAAUGGAGAAAUUUCGGCCGUAUCUCAUGGGUGACAAGGUCAUAACUCAUACCGAUCAUUCCACACUCCGGUACUUGAUAAUGAAGAAGGAUUCCAAAGCCAGACUGAUGUGAUGGGUCUGUUACUUUAAGAGUUUGAUUUGGAGAUUGUGGACCGGAAGGGUAGUGAAAACCAAGUGGCGGACCACUUGUCCCGCUUGGAAGAGGAGGGGAGGCCUCGUCAUGGCCUAGAGAUCAAUGAUUCAUUUCCCGACGAACCAUGAUUUGCGGAUGUUGCUAAUUUCCUUGUGACUGGUAUAAUCCCGUGAGAGCUCUCUUCUAACCAAAGGAAGAAGCUCAAAUGGGAUAGUUUGGAUUUAUAUUGGGAUGAGCCAUACUUAUUCAAGAUCUUCACGGAUGAUGUGAUCUGAAGGUGUAUUCUGGAAGAGGAGCAACUGAAUAUCUCAGAGUCUUGUCAUUCCUAUCCCUAUGGUGGCCAUCAUGGAGGGGCGAGGACGAUUUAAAAGUUCUUAAUUGUGGGGUUUAUUGGCCAACUUUUUACAAAGAUGCAAGUGAACUUGUGAAGAGAUGUAACGAAUGUCAAAGAGCAGGUGGAAUUUCAAAGAAAGAUGAGAUGACUAUCAAUACCAUUCUUGAAGUUAAUAUUUUGAUGUAUUGGGGCAUUGAUUUUAUGGAACCGUUUGUUAGCUUGUGUGGAAACACAUACAUUCUUGUAGUGGUUGACUAUGUUUCGAAGUGGGUUGAAGCCGUGGCUUUACCCAACAAUGAGGCCCGGAGUUUUUUGCGUUUCUUAUGAAGAGCAUUUUUACAAGGUUUGGCACUCCUCAUGCAAUCAUAAAUGAAGGGGGGGGGGGUCUCAUUUUUGUAAUAGAACUUUUGACACUUUGCUUGCAAAGUAUGGUGUCGAUCACAAAGUUUCUACUUCUUAUCAUCCUCAGGUGAGUGUCCAAGUUGAAGUCUUAGACAUGGAAAUCAAGAGUAUUGUCAAAGACAAUCAAUGCAAACAGGAGGGAUUGGUCAAAGAAGUUGGAUGAUGAUCUAUGGGCUAAUAUGACUGCUUAUAAGACUCUGAUUGGUAUGUCUCUGUAUUGGUUGGUAUUUGGAAAAGCUUUCCAUCUACCGGUUGAGUUAGAGCACAAGGCCAUGUGGGCUUUGAGGAAGUUGAAUCUUGAAUGGGAUGUGAUAGCAAAUCUUCGUGUGGAGCAGCUUAAUGAACUUGAUGAAUUUCGAUUCUAUGCCUACUCUAGUUCAUCCUUGUACAAGGACAAAAUGAAGUACCUUCAUGAUAAAUAUGCUCAUGGCAAGGAGUUCAACGUUGGUGAUUGGGUUCUCUGUUCAAUUCUCGGUUAUAUCUGUUUCCGGGAAAGCUUAAGUCAAAAUUCAGUGGACCUUUUGAACAGGUAUUUGUGACUCUGUUUGGUGCACUUGAGUUGAAGAACAAAAAUCGGGAGGUUUUUACAGUUAAUGGGCACAGGGUAAAGCACUAGCUGGGCAAGAUUGAUGGCAGCCAUGUGGUGGCACUGGUCCAUCUUAAGUGAUUUAAUGGUAACAUGCGUCGUGUCGUGACAUUAAAUCAAGCGUUUCUUAGGAGGCAACCCAUGUGUCUUUAUUUUUGUUUUUCUUUGGUUCUUUUCUUAGUGUAGGAUUUAUUUUGGACUAACUGGUUGUGAGAUGUUGUAGGAUUAUUUUGAUGCAGUGCAGGACUAAGUUGGGAAAAAUUCGCACUCUUUGAAGUUUGCACAGCGGACGCAUUGCAUUUUAUACGGCCGCAAGGGCCUUAGUACNNNNNNNNNNNNNNNNNNNNNNNNNNNNNNNNNNNNNNNNNNNNNNNNNNNNNNNNNNNNNNNNNNNNNNNNNNNNNNNNNNNNNNNNNNNNNNNNNNNNNNNNNNNNNNNNNNNNNNNNNNNNNNNNNNNNNNNNNNNNNNNNNNNNNNNNNNNNNNNNNNNNNNNNNNNNNNNNNNNNNNNNNNNNNNNNNNNNNNNNNNNNNNNNNNNNNNNNNNNNNNNNNNNNNNNNNNNNNNNNNNNNNNNNNNNNNNNNNNNNNNNNNNNNNNNNNNNNNNNNNNNNNNNNNNNNNNNNNNNNNNNNNNNNNNNNNNNNNNNNNNNNNNNNNNNNNNNNNNNNNNNNNNNNNNNNNNNNNNNNNNNNNNNNNNNNNNNNNNNNNNNNNNNNNNNNNNNNNNNNNNNNNNNNNNNNNNNNNNNNNNNNNNNNNNNNNNNNNNNNNNNNNNNNNNNNNNNNNNNNNNNNNNNNNNNNNNNNNNNNNNNNNNNNNNNNNNNNNNNNNNNNNNNNNNNNNNNNNNNNNNNNNNNNNNNNNNNNNNNNNNNNNNNNNNNNNNNNNNNNNNNNNNNNNNNNNNNNNNNNNNNNNNNNNNNNNNNNNNNGGGAGAUUCAAUGCGGACCCCGGAGUUAAUUGGUAAAAAAUGAGGAGUCUCUGAAGUUUGCCAUCACGGCCGUAAUGCAUCUUGUGCGGUCCGCGAUGGACCACUGCGAACGCAUUACAUUUCUUGCGAUCCGCAGUGGACAUCUCCCCAGUGCCUCUUGUUUCUGUGUACCGCAGAUCACGGUGCCAUUUUGUGUUGUCCGCGGUGGGUAGGUAAGAUGAGCCCCAGUACCUUUUUCUAUAAAUAGGACAUGAGGACCUCAUUUCAAACUUUUCUACCUUUUGCUCUCAAAAGAUAACAAAGUAUUGUUCAUCACGUCUAAUUGCAUGAAUUCAAUUGCUGAGUCUCAUUCAUCUACAUUGCAUCUCACUUCUGGUAUUUUUAAUCUUUACUUAGCUUUUAAAUGUGUUUAUUUUCUGUUAAAUUGAUCAGUUCUUCGAUUCUUCUCCCCUUAUUCUUUAAUGUUUUAGCUUAGGGUUUCAUAAGUUGUUUAAAUUACGACUAAGUAGUUAAAAACAUUGAUUCAACACCUAGGGGGAUCAAUAAUAGGUGAAAAUUUGGACUAAAAAUGUGAAAAAUUAAAACCCUAGGUUGGUGUUGCUAGGUACAACUUACCGCGGACCGCGAUGGAUUUUAUGAGGUCUGUGGUGCGUAGAAUGAGAGAGUGGGUAGUCUGAACCCCACCUCAGUGCGGACCAUUGUGCAUUUUGUACAGCCUACGGUAGCUUCUUUGCAUCCCGCACUUCAUUUUAUCCGGUCUGCGUUCUGCAACUCUGACUGUCUGCAAUUUUAUUCUACACAGCUUCAUCUGUUACUGGGAUACAAAAAGAAUAGAAUGUAUUCUCUUAGCAAAUAAUGGUGAAAUCACGAGGCGGAGGUGAUAAAUAGAAAGGGAAAGGAGAGUCCUCCUAGGGUAGGGGACGAGGCAUGAUUAGAUUCACCCCGCGAUCCCGGCAAGCCAUCAAAAACUCAAGAAGGAUCAUAAGGGUUGCUGAUAGAGCUAUUGACCAUUUGGGGAGUGAGUAUGUGUCCUCCCGGGAGGCGUUCGGCAGACUCCAUGCUAGAAUAUAUUCCUGACUGGACGGAGAGAGGAACAUAUUGAGAGAUACACCUCCGGCUCUCCUACUACCCAAGCAUCAGUGCAAAUAUCUUCUGAGUCGUCUGAUGGAUCAGCUCCGGGCAUUGACAAUGCCUAUUCUACCUCACCUACAACUUCACCAUCUGGUGAGGGUCCAGUAGAAGAAGAAGGAGAAGAAAAAAGAGGGAGUAAUCCCCAAGUAGGAAGGGUAGAUAGAACCAGGAAGUCAGAAGCAUGGCAAUAUAGAUUUGUGAGUGAAGUGGCCUACCACAAGUUUAGAGAAUGGUGGCCCGAGAGGAAGUUGAUACCUGAGCAGAAAUUCAUUACACCUGACCUUUUGCCUCAUAACCCCAAUGUGCUGACCCAGUUCAGAGAAAGAACAGGAUGAAAUUAUUUCAUAGGACACGGGAGGAUACAAAUGAGCACUUGAUAAAGGAGUUUUACACGAAUGUUGCCCACAUAAAAAAGGGAACCACAAUUACCGAGGUGCGAAAUUUGAAAGUAAAAUUUGAUGGAAAAUUGAUUAAUGAAUACCUGGGCUUCUCGGAGUAGGAUGAGGCAUUGUACUUAGAAAAGGUGGCAUUGGGUGAGGCUACUCGUUCUUGGUUGGCACAGUACUUGGUAAUCCCAGGCUCCACCCCAACUUGGUUGCUCGCGGGAGUAAAAAUUCUGAGGAGGACCAUGAACUUUGAUGCAAAAGGGUGGAAGACAUUUUUUUGUAUUAGGAUAGACCCCACCACUCACGACAACUCUCUUCUUAUCUCCCGAGGUAUAUCAGCAUAGACCCUACCACUCACGACAACUCUCUUCCUAUCUCCCGGGGUAUAUUGGUGGCAUCGAUCAUGGUGGGUACCCGAUCAACGUCAGGAAUGUGAUGUCUAGGGUGAUUACACGGGUAGUUAACGAAGGUGAUCGAUCCUACCCCUUCCCAAAUUUUUUGACCAUGUAUUUUGAGGAUCUAGAUGUGGAGAAGAGAAUAUUUGAUGUGAAAGUGAAAGCCAAGACACCUUUCCCCUGGUACAUCACCAAGGGCCAUGGCAACCCCAAGGACCCUAAAGGCAAAACCACUACUUCAACUGGCCUGUCUGCAGAGCCAGUAGUAGUAGUGACUCCAACUCAUCUUCCUGAACCACACCAGACAUGGCCCAAGGACACUCCACUUCUACAGUUCCAGAUAUCCCCUUAUCCACAUCAUAUCCUUUGACUCCAGUAUUAAAAAUUGGAUGCAGAAACCACUUCUAAGCUAUCUUUACUUUCUACUUCGGUGAUAAGUUUGUAUUUCACCGACUUAUGUUGCCAUUAAACUAUACUUUUGCUAUGUUUAUGGUGAUAAAAUCAUGCAUUUAAUGUCAAUUACUUCUACUUUACAAGGUAAAUAUGAUUUAUAAGUGAUGUCGAAGAUGAAAAGUGAAAACGAGUCAAAAAGAAGCCAAAAGAAUAAAAACCUGGGCAGGGCACUCUGAGCUCGCAAAUGCGAGCUAAUCUUGGGAAUUGCAAAGUCCAGUAAAAUGUGAUUUGUAAGUGAUGUCGAAGAAACCAAGUGAAAACGAGUCAAAAAGAAGAAAAAUCUUGGCGGGCACUCUGAGCGCGCAAAUGCGAGCUAAUCCUGGGAAUUGCGAAGUCCAGUACAAAAGGGAACCUUCGUAAAUGCAAAGGAAGGUUCGCAAUUGCGAACUUAAUUGGAAAUGGGUAGCCUUCGCAAAUGCGAAGGAAUGUUCGCAUAUGCGAACACGGCGUUAAGCAAGGCAGCUUCGCCAAUGCGAUAUAAAUCUCGCAAAUGCGAACUCAGCUGGGAAUGGAGGACUUCACAAAUGCGAAAUUAUUAUGGGAAAUGCGAAGUCCUAAGGCAAUGUUGGGAAUUGAGAACUUUUUUCUCAAAUGCGAAGUGCGGGCUUCAGGCAUGGGCAAAUGUUGAUUGGGAAAUGCGAACUGAGUUGUCCUAAGGCAAUGUUGGGAAUUGCGAACUUUUGUUCGCAAAUGCGAAGUGCGGGAUUCAGGCAUGGGCAAAUCUGGAAUUUCACUUUUUUGAUCCCCAAAAUCAUUUAAUACCCGACUAGGGUCAUUUGUAAAGGAUCUUUUAGCUUAUUUUCAGUCUCUUAGACUAGAAAGAACAAGGUGGAGGCUAGGGUUUUGCACAAACACACUUGGGUUGUGAAGAUUAAAGCUUGUGGUUAAGGUUUUCUUACCCAUUUAUGUUUGUUUCUUCAUUUCCUUUGGGUCUUCAAGAUUGAAGCUUGUGGUUAGCUUUUCUUACCUAUUUAUGUUGCUUUCUUCAUUUCCUUGCUUUGUAUUGUAUAUCUAAGUGUGUAGUAUUUUAUCCAACACUUAAUCUUAUUUAUAGAAAUAUUCAUAAUUAGAGUGUGAAUUUUAUACCUUGUUGUGCUUAUGUAUUGAAUGAUUUUUAUAUAUUUUUGAAGUGAGUUGUUGUUUCUUUAUUUAUUCUUGUUCUUUAAUGUUUCCAAAGGGAUUAUCUAAUCCUAGGACUCUCCCAUUAACUCCGAAUUAAUUUUGGAAAAAAUAGUUUGAGGUUAGGAAAGAUUAAUUGACAAGAACUUGAGGCGCUAACCCUCAUUUUAUAGAUUCUAUCGAGGGAUAGGAUUGAACUACUUGUAGCCUUUCGGGUGUGCUUAAUCUUCUAAUUGUGAUUAGGGAUAAUUCAAUUAGGAAGUCUUGUUAGUCUUCGGAAGAAGCUAAUUAAGAAUUAUUAUCCGCGGCUAAUUAGCAUAAACUCGCUCAUAUUUGUAAAAUCAUGAGAUAAUUGGAUCGUUACUUGAGUAUAGUUCCCGAUACUUUCGUACUUGCAGCCAUUGGUCAUUUUACUUGGUUUAGGUUAGUUUACAUUUUCGCAUUUUAGAUAUAAAAACAAUUUUCAACCCAAAAUUCUUAUUGUUUGGCACUGGCGACAAGAGAUAAUUCUCUUACAUUCCUGAUCGCCUACACAUUGUUCUCUGUGGGAUUCGACCCCGACUCAUAGUUGGGUAAUUAUAUUGUUGCAACCGUAUCUAUUGCUUUUUAGUUCUCUUACAUUCCUAAUCGCUUACACAUUAUUCUCGUUGAAUUCGACCCCGACUCAUAGUUGGGUAAUUAUAUUGCUGCGACCAUAUCUAUUUCUUUUUAACGGUGGAUUUGAACGUCAUCAAAAUUGGCGCCGUUGCUGGGGAAAAAUUUGGCGUAAUUUAGGUUGUUUGAGAAAUAAGCAGAAGUGCUUUGAUCCAAACUUGUUAAUACUUGUGUAAUUAUUUUUUUAACCUUGGGUCUAUCUUUCUUGUUAGUUUCUUGUUUAUUUUAUCAUUCUUGAAAAAUGGCAUCANNNNNNNNNNNNNNNNNNNNNNNNNNNNNNNNNNNNNNNNNNNNNNNNNNNNNNNNNNNNNNNNNNNNNNNNNNNNNNNNNNNNNNNNNNNNNNNNNNNNNNNNNNNNNNNNNNNNNNNNNNNNNNNNNNNNNNNNNNNNNNNNNNNNNNNNNNNNNNNNNNNNNNNNNNNNNNNNNNNNNNNNNNNNNNNNNNNNNNNNNNNNNNNNNNNNNNNNNNNNNNNAAUGGCCAUUGGGAUUAUUGUGCAUAUUUGACAUUCCCUUCCCCAAGCCCCUACUAUGAUGAGUUUGCUUCUUGUGAUGAAAACUACAGGGCUACGGGGAUUGAAGAAGUUGAGCAUGGCAAAAAUGGAGAGUUCGAAAUCAUGUUGGAGUGUCUACUUGAGGAAGGAAACAAAGAGCAAAAUGCCUUGGAGCAUCUUUUGGUCUUGUGAUGAAACUACAGGGCUACAGGAAUUGAAGAAGUUGAGCAUGGGAAAAAUGGAGAGUUCAACUCUUGUUGGAGUGUCUACUUGAGGAAGGAAACAAAGAGCAAAAUGCCUUGGAGCAUCCUUUGGAGACUAGUCUCCAAAAUGACUUAGCACUUGAACGGUUGCACUUGCAAAUGGAUGAGUUGAUAGAAGCCUCAAGGGCUCAAAAAGCCUCGAAAGUGAAUGGAAACCUAGAGUCUCUCUUGGAGGUCGAAAAUGAAAAUCCUUCCUUGACACUUGAUCAAAACCAAGAAGAACUCCCAAAUGCUUAAGAUGAGAAAAUAAUUCUCAUGUUGGAGACCAUUCUUGAAAAUGAGGAGAAGCACAACUUUGCACUCGAGGACUUGAGUCAAGGCUUGAAUUACAAUGAUGAAUACAUCCGCACUUUGGAAGACCAAAUGCAAAAAUUGGUUGAGGCUCACUAUGACCAACAACUAGAGUGUGUGGAAGAAAGCCAAGAAGAGUCCAAUUCCGGGGAAGAAAGUGAACUUUACAUUGAGGAGCCAAGAAUUGAACUUCCGCCAACCGACUCAAUGAGUGUUAUUGAUGCCGACAAAAAUAUGAAAUUGGAGUCAACCGGUAAAAAUGCAAUAUGGGUUGAUGUUGACUUUAAUCCAGGGGGAAAAGAGGAUGUCAAGCUAGAAAAAUUACAAAGUGAAGGCUUGAAGUCACAAUCCAAUCAUUUUUCAACGUUAGGAUUGUGUGGUGACACGGAAGUUGAACCUCAUGAAUCAAUGAAGGAGUGCGAGGAGGAAAAACUCAAGCCAUAAAUUUUACAGUUUGAGGAAGCAAGAAAUCAAAACGACAUUCCUCACUUGACAGCCAAGAAGUGCAAAAUGAAUAUGUUAAGCAUUGGCUCAAACAUCAAAUUACCACCCCCCAUCGCUCGAGGUCACAAGGUUGAUUCCAAGCUGGGGGCUCAGUUCAUAUCAUCCAAGUGGCGAGAAAAGUAGUAAUGUUGUUUGUGUCGUGCCACGGCGUUAAAUCAAGAGCUUCAUGAGAGGCAUCCCAUGGGUGGUAACACCCAUUUCUCUUUUACAUUUUUCAAAUUUUUUAGUUUACUAUGUUUGUUGGAAUGCUGGGAGUUCCAAGGAUCGAAAAAGAGCAGCAGGCAAAAUGCGAUAGGGAUGCGGUCGUAGAACUGAUAUGCGGUCCGCAAAUCCACCGCAGAACAAAUUAGAGAAGAGGCAGAAUUGGCAAGUGGAAAAUGCGGUAGAAAUGCAGUCACAUAACUGAUCAUUGGUCCGCACAUCCACCGUAGAAAAAGUCAGAUAAAUUCCCAAAUUGACAUUUGAAAAAUGCGGCGAAUAAGGUCACUAUGCGGUCCGCAGGUUCACUAUGCGACUGCAGAAUGGACCGCAUUUGAAGCCUUCUAAAAAUCCUUCAAGUCCCGCAUUUCAAAUUUCUCAUCAUUUCUGAAAUUUUCUUUUUUAGAAUAACUUAGAAUGUUAUUUGUAACUAAUCUGCCAAGUUUGAGAAUUUUUGGAGUUGAUUUGAGCAAGUCGGGAUGACGCGUUGGCAAAAACCAGUAGCUGCCUGGAAAUUGCAGGGCAGGGGUUCGCAUUUGCGAUUUUGCUUUCGCAUUUGCCAACAAGCAGAGAAACUUGGACUCCGCAAUUACGAUGGUCUCUGUCGCAUUUGCGACUUCUGUGGGGCUUUAAUGCUGCCUUGCCCAUUUUGAACCAAAAUCAGCUCUCACUCUAAAAAACUCUCAAAGUCUUGGUCUCUCCUCUCUCAUCAUUGUAAAGGCACAAAAGCUUCAUCUCUCAUCGCAAAAACUCAGGUAUGAAAGCUUAAAUAUUACACUCCUUUCUUCUCCAUGUUUACUCUCAUGUUUAUCUUGUUGGGUAUCAUGGAACCCUAGAAUUUUAAUGGGUCACUCUUGCCCUAAAUGGUUGAGAAUUGUUCAAAAAUAUUAUAUGUGAUUUCUGGGUGAGGUUUGGUUGAGUGUGAGUGAUUUCUUAUUUGUAAAAAUUUGGGGAAGUCUGAGUACCCAAGCUCUUGUCAAUGGAAGUAAAAAGUUUGCGCCUUUANNNNNNNNNNNNNNNNNNNNNNNNNNNNNNNNNNNNNNNNNNNNNNNNNNNNNNNNNNNNNNNNNNNNNNNNNNNNNNNNNNNNNNNNNNNNNNNNNNNNNNNNNNNNNNNNNNNNNNNNNNNNNNNNNNNNNNNNNNNNNNNNAUGCAUUAUAUAUGCUCAAUUAAUGAUUGAGUUUGCAAAAUAAAGCUUGAAAUGGAAAUUUUUGGGCUGAGGAACUGAACUCUAGAAGAGGGGUUGCCUGGGAUGAUGGGACUUCGCAUUUGCGAUGAUUUUUUCGCAAUUGCAAGAUCUGUCUCUCCCUGAAGAACUUCGCAAAUGAGAAGUUUAUCUCACAUUUCCCUUAACUGUCAACUUCGCAAUUGCGAAGAAAAGUUGGGAUUUGCGACAUAUGCAGCCCAGCUGCUCAAAAGCUGAAAAUCCUGGAAUUUUUUCUAAGCCUGAGUCCGAGAGCGGGGAUAGCAAUUGAUGCAGUAUACAGGGAGCAUUCUCCACCAUUUUCUACUAUAUCAUGUUUAGUUGCAUUGGAGACAUUGCAGCAUCUUUGGUUGGGGGUGGCUUCUUGCAUAACUGUGAUGUUUUGUUGGACAUUUGGCGGAUUAGUACCUUGACUGUUGUUUAUGCUUUUCAUUUUGUUAUUAGUAUGUUUUUAUACCAUGUGUAUAUUAGUAUGUUAAUAUUAGUUUGUUUAGUAGUUGUUAUUAGGCAGCUUCUUAAUUUUUAUUUAUUUUAGUAUGUUUUUUUUGUUAGUGGCGAUAUCCUUGGUUUUCUUCAUGCCAUGGUUCUUUUUCCAAGGAUGCCAAUUUUUCUAGUUAUACCAGGUAAUUGUAGAAACGUUUUGUCGAGUUUUCCUGAUGAUGGAUGGAUUGAAAACUUUUUUAAGGCAAUUAGUUGUUUAGUUAGAAUUAAUUUUUGUUUAUUGAUGGUAUUAAAUGGUUUGUGCUGGGAUUGGUGCCCAUUGGUUGUGGCUUGCUUAUAAUUGAGGGUAUUAAAUGGUUUGUUUUGGGAUUAGUGCCCAUUGGUUGUGGCUUGCUUGGUACCAACAUAGUUAAUCCUCGGCAUAUGAAUUGUUGAUUGUUUAAAAAGAAAAACACAAAAUAUAAUAAGUAAAGUAGUAAGGUCAUGACUUUUACACUCAAAUUUUGGCUCUUUGAUUCAUAAAUUAGAAUCUUAUGCUAUAUGCAACAUCUUUCAGUCAUUGGUUCCAAUUGGAUUUUGGAUUGAUGUUCCAUUCGAAUGUUCAUGUGCCAUGUGUGAUGAGAUUGUUUAUGAAGUUCCUUUUCAUUGCUUUUAGUCUAGAACUUGCCCGGAAUGUGCUUCAAGGAGAAAUCAUAGAUUAACUUGGUUCGAAAAAUAAUAGUAGGCCUUCCUUGGACAGCUAGUAUGCCUAAAAAUUUCCUACCCGUAAAUAUUUUCCCUAGUCAACCAAUUUUGAGCCUUUAACCUUAUUCUCUGGCAACCAUGUUAUAAGCUUAAAGCCUUUGAUCUUAAUUGAUAUACCUUUUGGCACCUUACCUUCCGAAGUACUUUUAAAGUGCAAACAUAGGCUAAAAGCCUAAGUUUGGGGGUGAAUGGUUGGAAAAGUUGUGAUAUGGAAAUUAUUGAAAAGGUGGAAGGUACAAGAAAAUGAUAAAAAGUCAAAAAGGAAAUAUAUAUAUAUAAAGUGAAUAAAGGGAAGAUUAGGUGAAAAAAAGUGAAAAAUGUGUUUGAAGGAAGUGGACUUUAAUUGUAGAUUGUGUAGUGUUUGGGGAGGUUUUGAAUCACUUUACCAAAAUUGAACCAUACCUUAUCCAAAAGCCUAAACUACNNNNNNNNNNNNNNNNNNNNNNNNNNNNNNNNNNNNNNNNNNNNNNNNNNNNNNNNNNNNNNNNNNNNNNNNNNNNNNNNNNNNNNNNNNNCCUUAAUUGAUUUUGAACCGAGUUAUCUACAUUAGUGGAGGAAUACAUAAAGGGCAAGCCUAUGGUACUACACGUGUGCAUGUGAAAAUCUUUUUGAGAGAGAGUGAAUUCUUACCAUUUGAUAUCCCAUUGUUGCUUUGAAAUAACAAUUAUGAGUGUGGGAUCCUCUCUUAAAUGUGAGGGCACAUGAAGUUUGAGUUGUGAAUUUAAUCUCAUUUCCAAUUCGGAAGAAUGACCAAAGAAAGUUGAUUGUGAUGGAGAGGCAAAUUUUAAAGCUUUAGUGUCAUGACUUGAUUGCUACUUUGAUUUGCAUUGGUGUGUGAGCACUUGAUUAUGUGAAGUGCUUGAUAGUUCAUAUGCUUUGGAGUACUUUUUGGUACUAAUCGAAGUCAUGCAUUUUUACUUAAAAUAGAUCUUCUUGUUGGCUUGGUGUGAUAAAGAUAUGAAGUUGUUGAACCACAUGGGAAGAGAUUUUGUUGCUUUCGUUGCUUGAGGACAAGCAAUUGUUCAAGUUUGGGGGUGUGAUAAGUUGGUAUUUUACCCGACUUAUCUUGCCUUUAAACUAUACCUUUGCUAUGUUUAUGGUGAUAAAAUCAUGCAUUUAAUGUCAAUUACUUCUACUUGACAGGGUGAAUGUGAUUUAGAAGUGAUGUCGAAGAAACCAAGUGAAAACGAGUCAAAAAGAAGCCAAAAGAAGAAAAUUCUGGGCAGGGCACUCUAAUCCUGGGAAUUGCGUCCAGUACAAAAAGGGAACCUUCGUCGAAGGAAGGUUCGCAAUUAUGAACUUAACUGGAAAUGGGUAGCCUUUGCAAAUGCGAAGGAAUGUUCGCAUAUGCGAACACAGCGUUAAGUAGGGCAGCUUCGCAAAUGUGAUUUAAAUCUAGCAAAUGCGAACUCAGGUGGGAUUGGAGGACUUCGCAAAUGUUAAAUUAUUAUGGGAAAUGCAAACUCAGUUGUCCUAAGGCAAUGUUGGGAAUUGUGAACUUUUGUUCGCAAAUGCGAAGUGCGGGCUUCAGGCAUGGGAAAAUCUGGAAUUUUACAUUUUUGAUCCCAAAAUCAUUUAAUACCCUACUAGGGUCAUUUGUAAAGGAUCUUUUGGCUUAUUUUCAUUCUCUUAGACUAGAAAGAACAAGGUGGAGGCUAGGGUUUUGCACAAACACACUUGGGUUGUGAAGAUUAAAGCUUGUGGUUAAGGUUUUCUUACCCAUUUAUGUUUGUUUCUUCAUUUCCUUGAUUUAUAUUGAAUAUUUAAGUGUGUGGUAUUUUAUCCAACACUUGAAUCUUGUUUAUGGGAAUAUUCAUAAUUAAGUGUGGAUUUUAUACCUUGUUGUGCUUAUGUAUUGAAUGAUUUUUCUAUAUUUAUGAAGUGAGUUGUUGUUUCUUUAAUUAUUCUUGUUCUUUAGAAUCUUGUUUAUGGGAACAUUCAUAAUUAAAGGUUGGAUUUAAUACCCUGUUGUGCUUAUGUAUUAAAUGAUGUUUCUAUAUUUAUGAAGUGAGUUGUUGUUUCUUUAAUUAUUCUUAUUCUUUCAUGUUUCCAAAGGGAUUAGCUAACCCUAGGACUCCCCCAUUAAAUUCGAAUUAAUUGUGGGAAAAAUAGUUUGGGGUUGGAAAAGAUUAAUUAACAAGAACUUGAGGCACUAAGCCUCAUUUUAUAGAAUUUACCUAGGGAUAGGAUUGAACUACUUGUAGCCUUUCUGGUGUGCUUAAUAUUCUAAUUGUGAUUAGGGAUAAUUCAAUUAGGAAGUCUUGUUAGUCUUCGGAAUAAGCUAAUUAAGAAUUAUUAUCCGUGACUAAUUAACAUAAACUCGCUCAUAUUUGUGAAAUCGUGAGAUACAUUGGAUCAUUACUUGAGUGUAAUUACUGAUACUUUCAUACUUGUAGUCAUUGAUCAUUUUACUUGCUUUCUAGGUUAGUUUACAUUUUCGCAUCUUAGAUAUAAAAAAAAUUGCCAACCCAAAAUUCUUAUUGUUUGGCACUGCGCGACUAGCGAGUUCUCUUACAUACCUGAUCGCCUACACAUUGUUCUCUUUGCAAUUCGACCCCGACUCAUAGUUGGGUAAUUAUAUUGCUGCGACCGUAUCUAUUGCUUUUUAGCGGUGGAUUUGGACGUUAUCAUUCGAUAGUAGCGCAGUCGGUACCUCCUCAGCCACAGGUCCCACAGUCAGUGGAGGACACUUUCAAGGAGCUUCGAGAGAAUAGAAAGAAGCUCCUGGAGAACCAACAAUUAAUAUUGGACAUUGUGGGUCACACGGAAAAGCAUUGAAGGAUUUGAAAAAAAAACAAAGAAGCUGAGAAAGACUCGGGCAUCCAAGGAGUCAGUAAAAGAGUUGAGAGUGGAGGUGGAAAGGUCGAUGGCAGAUCACUUGCCUCUGGAUAUUUUAUUGCAUGACCCGACCGCAGCAGCCCAUCCUGAGCCGAAGGGGGAGACAGAGAGGCCAACAAAGAGGAGGAAGGUGAUUCCCUGUAUAGAUGAUUCUAUGAUAGAGUUGGAGAACCCGCAAGGAGGUUCCUCUAGCCAGCACCAGAUUCCAGUACAAGCCCACGACCCAGUGGAGGCACAAACUACAAGGAGCCAGUCACAGGUUCCUAAGCAGAGCGAGGACCUAGGGACCAAGACUCAGGAUCAUAUGCAGACGGAGGGCCAACAGGGAGUUUCUUUUUACUCUCUAUAUUUUCUUAUGAUUAUUUUGGUUAGUUAGCAUUGAAAACAAUGCUAGCUUUCAUUUGAAGAGGUAGCGCUAUUUGGAUGACUACAUAUAUGACAUUACCUUUUUCUUUAUGCUUUAUUUUUACUUUUGGUAUGUACAUAAUUUUAUCAUUUUAUUGAACCUUUUGUACUUUUUACUUUUGGCUUGUAUAUAAAGUUAUGUUCUAUUGUACAUUCUAAAUCCCCUCAUGUACAUAUUCAUUCCACUUUCCGCAUUUUCUCUUUCAUAGCUUCUUAUUUUGAGUCUUUGAGUUCGAUAAGCCUUUGGUUUUUUUAAUGCACGAUUCUUUUGAAAGGUGGAAUUUGUGUGAACCGGGUGGCUUUUCCCGAUGAUGGAUGGCAUGACAACCUUCUUAAGGGUUUGAGUCUGUUUUUCUUUUUGCUUUUUGUGUAAAAAUAGCUAACGACUAAUGGUACCUCAAACAAAGCUUCACUUGGGCCUAACACAUUUACCUUUGAUCUUAUGAUCAAAAACAUAUUGUUGUGUAUAGGAUGGUGAAAGUUGUGACCUUGAGACUCUUGUGUUGGUCGAUAAUCAUUAAGUGGUUUUUCGGGACCAUUGUGUUGCUCAAAUCUUAUCUAAAGUUAGUGUGGGACUCUGACUCUAUCUCUUUAGUAAUCCAUAGCUUGUGUGGUGAGAAUUUGAAUUGCAAGUCCAAUUCCCGAGCCAUCAGUCUAGAGCUUGCCCUAAAUGUUUGUCUAGGCAAAAUCCUAAGUGUAAUUUGACUUGUAAUGUGAUUAUAGGCUCUCCUUGAUCUAAAUGAUAUUUUGAACACUUCCAUAGCCUACCAAUGAUAAUAUCCCUAGUCAACCCUUUUGAGCUAUAGACCCUUUUCUUUCAAAAACCAUGAUACAAGACUUUACUCAUUCUAAAAAUACCCUCUCUUGGCACAUGAUCUUUCCUUAGCACAAGGAAAAAGCAUAAGUUUAGGGGGAGAGACGAGCAAUGCAACAAAAUGGUAAAAUGUACAAAUGAAAAAAAAAAAGGAAAGGCAAUGAAAAAGAAAGAAAAUCAAAUAGUCAAAAAGAAUGAUCAAUGUAUAAAAAUAAAGGGAUUCAAUAAAAGUAAAGAGAUGAAAGGUGUGGAAAGUUGAGAAAUGAGAAAAAGGUUUGAAAUGAAUAAGAAAGAGUGAUAGUGUGUCUCUAUAACCCAUAAGAAAGAAUUAAAUGACUUAAAAAGUUAAGAGAAUUUGUGCCAAAAUGAAGCUAAUGAAGUGCUAAAGGGAAAUUGGAACCUAUUUAGACCAAACAUUUCCUACCUUGAACUAAAAGCCUUCACUAUCUCUCCACAAAAGCCCUAUAUGAUCUUGAGUUUAAUGAAGCUUACAUUAGUGGUGACUCACAUAAGGGGCAAGCUUAUGGUACUUAGAGUCGGGCUUGUGACCUUUCUUUGAGAGAGAUGAGUGUGUUUCCACUAUCCUCAUUCUGCAUGCUACAAUCUAAAAGUGAGGUUUGCAUAGGGAGAGUUGAGGAUGUGUGAAUUUGUGUUCCACAAUGACCAAACUAGUAGAAAGAGUUUCCCUUGAUGGAUUAAGUGAAUUCUUGAUGCUCUUGUGUUGCACUAAAACCAUGGUGCUUUAAAGAGUGAAUGUUGUUAAUGAUUUAUUUGAAUUGAGGGAAAUUGUUAGUCCCAGUUGAUAUUAGAUGAGGUCACUUUAGGUCAGUUGAAUUUUCUUGGAUUUACUCUUAAGGAGGUGGGUAUUAUUUUAUUGAGGACAAGCAAAAACUUGAGUUUGGGGGAGUUGAUAACUAGGGAUUAUGGUUCAUAUUACACUCCUUCUUACUUGAUUUUUGAUUAAAAAUGUGUGCAAAAAAGUCCCAAAAGCUUACAUUUUGUACUUGUUUGUAGGGUUUGGUCAAAAAGGUGACAAUUAGUCAAAACUAUCUCAAAAAGGAGUGAAACAUGCACAAGUACCAAGAAUAAGUCCAAGCACAGUGCAACAGAUCCACUGCUGCCGCCUUCCAUUUAGUGUGGUCCGCAAUGAGGAAAUUCAUAGUGGUGCUUAUUUCAGAAACUCAAGCAAUGCAGCCAAAAUCAUUUUGUGCGGACCACAAUGGCCUCACCGCAGCCAAAAUCGAGAUUGUGUGGUCCAUAUAGAAGAAGUUCAAAGAGUUGGAGUUUUGGAGCCUAAUGCCAAUGCGGUCCGCAGACCGCAGAAGGAGACACCGCAGCUGCGGUGCAUUUUAUGCGGCCCGUGGUGGCCAAGUUCAGAGAGCAGAGAUCUAAAGCCAAGAAGCCUCACCGCGGCCGCACUCGAUUUUGUGUGAACCACACCACCCCGCAAGGGUAUUUUUGUCCAAAAAAUUUGUCCUAGUAUAAAUACUUUUUUCCCAUUUUAGGUCAUCUUUUGUAAUCUAACUUUGGACUGAGCACAUGAACGGUUGUUCUUAACUAUUUUUAGUACUUUGUAGCUACUUUAACACUGAAGUUUCUUUAUCUUAGUUUGUAAUUAAAUCUUAUGGAUUUUUCUACAUUUAUUUAUCAGCUUUAUUAUAUUAUUAUGAGUAGCUAGACCCAUUAGAAAGGGUUGUGGCUCAGCUCUAGUGUGGGUAUUGUAUGGGUCUUGAGUUUUAAGGCUUGAUUAUCUAUGGGUGUUUGAUAUUUGGACUAAUUUGUGUUUUCCAUAUUGAAUUAGUGGUUGUAAAUACUAAUUUGUGACUUUUUGACAUGGAGUCCUCUUGAGAAUGAGAACUUGUGUCUAGGAAAAUUUGUCCAACAUGUAAUUGGGGCGUAUUCAAGAGAUUGAUAGCCCCAAUUAAAGGGUUAAACCUAGACAUAGUAAUAUCCGACUUGAACCUCAAUUGCUUGUACAAAUUAACAUAUCCAAUUGGUCUUGAAAAAAUCAAUUAGCGCAAAACCACUCAAACUACCAAGAGGUAUAGAGUGAGAAGUUUUGUGCAUUGGUUAUGUCGUAAUCCCCAACAUGACAAUCUUGCCUUAGACUCGAGAACCCGUCAAGUAUUCACCUAGGAAAAAGUCACUUCUCUAGUGCCUCUUUAACCAAUUAGUCAACCUUUCAAGUAUAUUACUCUUAGCUCAAUUUAGCAUUUUAUUAGAAUAAUAUUAGAAUUAAUCAAAAGACCAAAGAUGAUUGGAAGAGUAAUUAAGAACAAUUACGUAACUCUAGUUUAGAUAGGAAUCCAAUUCCCACUUCUAGCUCCCUGUGUAUUCGAUCCUGACCAUCUCGGGUAAAAGCUGCUUCGACCACUCUCGUUACUCUAUAGUGGUGCAGGGUUGGCUCCGAUCACCGCUUAGCGAUCCUACAAGAUAUAGGUGGUUGAUUGGUAAAUUAAUUUAUCUCACAGUGACUAGACCUGACGUUUCCUUUCUUGUGUGUUGCAAUUCAGUUUAUGGAUUUUCCCUGUGAUAGUCAUGGGUAUGCAGUUGUCCGCAUUCUUCGGUAUAUAAAAUCACCUCCAAGCAAAGGGUUAUUAUUUGAGGAUCGAUUCCAUAAGCAGAUCAUUGAAUACUCGAAUGUUGAUUGGGCAGGAGAAACUUCUAAUAGACGUUCUACAUCUGGAUAUUGUGUUUUAGUAAGAGGCAAUUCAGUGUCCUGGAAUAGCAUGAAACAGAAUGUCGUUGCUUUAUCUAGUGUAGAAGCAGAAUAUCGAGCAAUGGAUAUGGCAAUGUAUGAGCUAAUUUGGAUCAAAAAAUUGCUCAAAGAGUUGAAAUUUGGUGAAAUCAGCCAGACGGAACUUAUGUGAGAUAAUAAAGUUGCCCUUCAUAUUGCAUCAAAUCUGGUGUUCCAUGAGAGGACUAAACACAUUGAUAUUGAUUUUCACUUCAUCAGAUCAAAAAUACUCUUAGGAUAUAUUGCUACAAAAUUUGUGAAGUCGAAUGAUCAGCUUGCUGGAUCCGCCUCUUAGGAGUCUGACAUACCAGUAGUAAGUGCAGAUACCUUGUGCCUAGUGAUUGAGUGUACCAAGUGAUUGCGCACUCUAAGAGUGUGAGUACAUGAGUUCAUCACUAUGAUGAAUUAUAUUUGAUAUGCAUACUUGGCACAUAGGCAUAGAGAUGCAUUUCCUCAUGCUAAACGGUAUUAUGACAUUCAUAGCUUCACAUACACAUUGACAUGUAGGCAUAGAAAUGUACUUUCCUCAUGCUAUCUGAUAAUGAAACAUCUUAUCUGUUGUUUAAUUUUUUGGGGAAAUUUACAAGACAUACUCAUAUUUUAUGAUUUCGGAGAAAGAUUUGAGUUUUAUGGUUAUACCUGAAAAAUAUGCCUAUUUUCCAUAACUGUGGAUGAGCUGAGCAUCAUAUCUUUGAGUUAUCGCUUGUACUAAUUUUAUGAUAUUAUUAUGAGUUAUUUUUUGCUAUUAGUGGUGACCUAUAACCGUUGUCCAAGCCUUUCAGUGCUUUCAACCUAAGGUUAAGUUUGUUACUUAUUGAGUAGGGUCGGCUAUAUUCAUACUACAUUUGUGCACCUUGCGUGCAGAUUUUGAAGUUGUUGUUGUUGUGUAUGGUGGG